rnacentral:lncRNA from 1 species
UUCACAACUGGGAAAAAGCCUGUUUGUAUUUUUAGUGGGAAGGUUAUUUUAAGCCAUGAGAAAGGUAUUAGAUAUUAUCUACCAUGGAGUAUUUGUAUAAACAAAGGUCUACCUGAUGGUUGUGCAAACAUCUGUUCUGCUCUUACCCAACAUUGCACGGUUCAUUAAAACUUACCCUGUUGGCCUCUGAAAGGCCAGUUCUGGAAGCACAUCGUCUUACUUACAGAAUCCACAAUUGCAAUAAUUUGUCUUCUAAAAGAAAAUAAUCUUAGCUUAGGGUAAUGAUUUUUUUUUUUAUUUUUUUUUUUUCCCCUCUGUAGAAAUAUGAUUUUAUGUUUUACAAUGCAGGCUCAAUAAAUUACAUUAAUAAAUGACUCCUGGUUCACGAGAAGUGCUGUAUUUUGACAAUAUCAGCCAACCUUUCCAUUUGUUUAAGCAGGAAAAGUGGGGAGCCAAAAUAAAGCUGUUACAGAAGAAAUCUCAAGAAUGUUUAUAAAACUCUACUCUAGCUACAUUUAUUAGGAGUCGAAGCAUAGUCUUAAUUUGUCAUGCAGAAUUCCAGGGGAGUGAGUAAUUUCUAGAGCUUCUCUAAAUGCCAGGACUUAAUAUUUUUCUGUAGCAAUUUGUUUGUAAACAUGGAGUAAAUUGUAUAGGUUGCAAUGUGACAAAAAGGUAUCUAGGAUUUGUCAUCUUCUGCUAACAGCUGUUGGGUUUAUUUUAUAGCAUCUCAUGGGGUUUUUCAGAUAAAUGCGCUGUUGAUGGCAAGUGAAAGCACCCUGAGGAUCUCUGAUGGUGGGCGUGCACAAAGUUUAACUGCAGUAGGCUGUUUGUUGGGGAUUUAAUCUCCAGUGGAUCAGCUCCCCUGGGUCGCUUCCGCUCCCACCAGGGUGUCGAUGUGUCAGCUCCAGAGAAACCCACACCACACAGGAGGCAAACUCCGGGCAAGAUGGUAAUCUCCCUUCUGGUCCUUUUUGGAGUUCACCAGGGAUGUUUGGCUAGAAACGCUUUUCCAUGGGUGCUUUCAAAUAUAUACCAAGCAGAGCUGCAGCGGCUGCUGAGGGUAAGCUGGACAUAGAUAGGAGAGGUGAGUGAAGUGCUUGACCCACGUGUUGGUGGUGACUAUUGGACUCCUGAUUUUCACUGCCUUGAAACUCAGGCUAUGUUCUUGUACCUAAUGGGACAAUGGCCAGGAAGGAUUAAGCUGCUUGGAUUUGGGACCAAAGGAUUUUUCUGAUUAUAGUUUGCUAUUUCAGUAUGAAGCCAAAGUGAUAGUAAAAUUGAGAAACUCAUAACAUAAAGUAUUGGCAGAAAAGUAGCAAUCAGUUUACAGUUACAUUUGUCAAAAAAUCUUGAUUAGAUGCUAUUUAAAGCAGUAACACAACUAAGAUUUAUAGCAUAGCAUAUUGCCCUUUUAUACACAAUAGAAGAUUACACAAAAUAUCAUGUCAAUGAAUGCACCUUCAAGUAAGGUAAUUAAUUCUAUGAUAAAUUAACAACUGAGAUAUUAGACAAUUUAAAAGUUAAAGCAUUACUUCCCCCUCUUCCUCCCUAAUAGAUGCCUAUGUUCCUGGCUACACGCAGUCUCCUCCCCACCUCCCAAAGGUAUCUUUUUUUUCUUUUUUUUUUUUUGGGGGGGGGGGGGAAUAAUUUAAUUUUUUAUAUUUAGUUUGAGCCCCUCAAAUUAAAAAAAAAAAAAAAAGAAAAAAAAAAGUACAGAAACUAUCUGAAACUACCUGAUUUUCUCUCUGAAGGAUUCUGCUUGUAGAUGGGUGCAGGCAUGUAUUGUUAUGACUUGACUGUUUCUGUUAGGCAUUCCAGUGAGUUUAGAGCAAUGGCAGAAAUGCUGUGGCCUUCUCUUUAAUACAGUGAUUCUGAAAAUAAUAAUAAUAAAAAAGUCUCUUUUACCUCUGUUUUCUUUCUC